AUUGAACGCUGGCGGCAGGCCUAACACAUGCAAGUCGAGCGAGCGGCGGACGGGUGAGUAAUGUCUGGGAAACUGCCUGAUGGAGGGGGAUAACUACUGGAAACGGUAGCUAAUACCGCAUACCAUCAGAUGUGCCCAGAUGGGAUUAGCUAGUAGGUGGGGUAACGGCUCACCUAGGCGACGAUCCCUAGCUGGUCUGAGAGGAUGACCAGCCAAACGGGACCUGAGAAACGGUCCAGACUCCUACGGGAGGCAGCAGGGGGGAAUAUUGCACAAUGGGCGCAAGCCGGAGGCAGCAAGGCCGCGUGUAUGAAGCAGGCCUUCGGGUUGUAAAGUACUUUCAGCGGGGCGGCGUUACCCGCAGAAGAAGCACCGGCUAACUCCGUGCCAGCAGCCGCGGUAAUUC
rnacentral:rRNA from 1 species